CACUGUCACUCCUACGGGAGGCAGCAGUGGGGAAUCUUGGACAAUGGGGGGCAAACCCUGAUCCAGCCAUGCCGCGUGAGUGAUGAAGGCCUUAGGGUCGUAAAGCUCUUUCGCCUGUGAAGAUAAUGACGGUAGCAGGUAAAGAAACCCCGGCUAACUCCGUGCCAGCAGCCGCGGUAAUACGGAGGGGGUUAGCGUUGUUCGGAAUUACUGGGCGUAAAGCGCACGUAGGCGGAUCGGAAAGUUGGGGUGAAAUCCCGGGGCUCAACCCCGGAACUGCCUCCAAAACUAAUCGGUCUAGAGUUCGAGAGAGGUGAGUGGAAUUCCGAGUGUAGAGGUGAAAAUUCGUAGAUAUUCGGAGGAACACCAGUGGCGAAGGCGGCUCACUGGCUCGAUACUGACGCUGAGGUGCGAAAGUGUGGGGAGCAAACAGGAUUAGAUACCCUGGUAG
rnacentral:rRNA from 1 species